GUGACAACAAAGUGUGUUCAGCAGCAGCUUCCCAUCAUGACCCCCUAUUUGCACACUGAGAACUUUCCAAAAUUGGGUUGCAAUUUCUCAGAUUUGGUCUCUGCCUGAAGGUAGAAGAGGAAGUUGAGUAAAAUCCCUUCAGACCUUCUGAAACAAGAACAGAAUGAAAAAUUGCAUUUUCCUAUUGUAAUAAAAAUUCUAACCAUUUUGUUCUUCGUAAAACUGCUUGAAAUUUGAAGAAUGGCAUAGCUAUAAUUCUCAUCACAGGCCAGACCCAAAGCAAGCUGAGGUCAACAAUUCAUGGCUGAUCUCCCUUGAUUUUGCCUGGCUCUGACAAACAUCCUACAGAUCCUUGCUCCAUGAAUAAUCUCCUCGAAGAAAAUAUCCACAAGCAGACGAACGGACAUCUUUAGGUUGAAACCAGCUGAGAAUUCUUGAGGAGGAAGAUGGAGGGACAGAUAUACAAGCAGGAAUACAAGUAUAUACAGAAUACAUCUACACAAAGCUCAUUUCCUUAGAAAACUGAGAUGGCAUCAGGACACAAAAAGCUGAUGAAGAUGUAAAAAAUAAAGAAUGGCCUUACCAAGGCAGGCUGAAAGUUCAUAAUUCAGUAUCUUGUCUCCAUCAGCAGCCAGAAUAGGUACUCAAGGAGGAAUAAAAUUCAGCAGAAGUAUGCGAUGCUUUCCACUUGUGUCCUCUUCCAACAAUUUUUGCUCAGCAACUUCUUGCAAAUACUGCAGUCACUAUGUUCUUAAUCUCUGUGGAUUUCUCUUUGAUGAACUUCUCCCCUUGAACUCAUGUAAACCUGUAAGUGACAGACAAGUUUGUUGGGAUACAGGCUUUUCCCUGGGUUUACUGAAAAUAUGGGGCAGUUAUGAACUGUAGGUCUUUGGCCUGCUCAGAAAGGAAGCAACAGUCAUGUCCCAUGUCGCUCCUGCCCUUGUGGGACACGCUGGCAGAGAGAAACUGAGAGGCACAUAAGAAUAUGGCAGUCUCAGCAACUCUCAAGCUGCACUGUUUCAGGAAAAAUUAAAAACAGAGUCUUUUAGAUACUAUGCAAAUCAUGAACAUAAAACAAG
ensembl:lncRNA